GGAUAUAGCUCAGUUGAUAGAGUGCUUGCCUUGCAUGCACAAGGCUCUGGGUUCAAUCCCCAGCACCA
rnacentral:tRNA from 1 species